rnacentral:rRNA from 1 species
GUCUAUGGCCAUGCCGCCCUGAACAUGCCCGAUCCCGUCUGAUCUCAGGGUCAGGCCUGAUUAGUACUUGGAUGGGAGACCACCUAGGAAGAUCAGGUACUGUAGGUG